CAAUAUAUUCAAAUAGGUUGGGCUUACACAUUUCUGGUCGGAACAGCGUUUUCCAUGUUUAACAUAAAUAAAACACACUAAGAUACGUAUAUAUAAUCACUUUCCUUUAUUUAAACUACAUAAUAUUGCAAUGUCACUACUUUUGUUGCCAUUACAUUUGUUGUCGUUACGUCGUGAAGUUGCUGUUGUCUAAGUGUUCAAUGCAUAAUGAUCGUUUGACAUCACUUUAUCAGCUGUUUGUGAAUAAGGAAAACGCUUUUGUAAAAAAUUUGAUAAUGUCGGAUGAAGUAGAGCCAAUAAAAAAAAGAGGUUAACUGCGUUUUCAUCAAGAUGGCUAGAAAUACCAAACUUUGCUUCGUGGUUAAAAAAAAAGAUGAGUACACUUCUUUGUGCAAAUUGUGCUUGGUUGAUAUUACAAUUAAAUAUGAAGCCGUCAGAGGAUUGGAGAAACAUUCACGUACAAAAAGACAUCAAAAUAUUGUAAAGACUAACCAAAUUUCUGGAAGCGUGAGCAAAUUUAUGUUAAGAGAAUCAACAAAUACUGAAGAAAUACUUUUCGCGAAACUUGAGCUUUUAACCAUUUUCCACAAUACUAAGCAUGGAUUAUAUAUUGGAUAUAAUAGCCUAGAUUGCCAUAGUAAGCUUGAGAAAAGUAUUUUUCCCGAUAGUAAAAUUGCAGCAAAAAUAACUUGUGGUCGUACAAAAAGUUCUGCUAUCGCACGAAAUGUUUUGGGACCAUUUGCGCAAGAGCAAGUAGUUUUGGAUUUAAAAAAGUGUUAUUAUUUUGCUAUUGGAAACGAUGCAGCAAGCUUUGGCAAUGUUAAAUAUUUUGCAUAUACUGUUCAAUAUUUUGAUUCUAAAAGUGGUAUUUGUAAAAAGAUCUUGGAUUUUUAUGAAGACGAUAACUCCAAGUCGAUUGAUAUAUGUAUAUAACAAAAUCGAGCAAAUAAAUGACAAUUUUCAUCUGAGUAUUGAUCAAA